GAGGAAGCCGGUGCGAAUCCGGCGCGGUCCCGCCACUGUGACCGGGGAGCGACCCCCAACCAGGCCACUGUCCGCGUGCGGACGGGAAGGCCGGGGGGAGCGUCGAUCCGGGAGCCAGGAGACUC
rnacentral:ncRNA from 1 species